CUAGGAAUCUUGGGAAUGGGCGAAAGCCUGACCCAGCAACGCCGCGUGGGCGAUGAAGGCCUUCGGGUCGUAAAGCCCUUUUGAGGGGGAAGAUGAUGACGGUACCCCUCGAAUAAGCCACGGCUAACUACGUGCCAGCAGCCGCGGUAAUACGUAGGUGGCAAGCGUUGUCCGGAUUUACUGGGCGUAAAGGGCGCGUAGGCGGCAUGACAAGUCACUUGUGAAAUCUCUGGGCUUAACCCAGAACGGCCAAGUGAUACUGUCGCGCUAGAGUGCAGAAGGGGCAAUCGGAAUUCUUGGUGUAGCGGUGAAAUGCGUAGAUAUCAAGAGGAACACCUGAGGUGAAGACGGGUUGCUGGGCUGACACUGACGCUGAGGCGCGAAAGCCGGGGGAGCAAACGGGAUUAGAUACCCUAGUAGUCCCUGAGCGGGCUGGCAAGGCGCAU
rnacentral:rRNA from 1 species